rnacentral:rRNA from 1 species
GCUGGGGAGUACGGCCGCAAGGCUGAAACUCAAAGGAAUUGACGGGGGCCCGCACAAGCGGUGGAGCAUGUGGUUUAAUUCGAAGCUACGCGAAGAACCUUACCAGGUCUUGACAUACUAUGCAAAUCUAAGAGAUUAGACGUUCCCUUCGGGGACAUGGAUACAGGUGGUGCAUGGUUGUCGUCAGCUCGUGUCGUGAGAUGUUGGGUUAAGUCCCGCAACGAGCGCAACCCUUAUUAUCAGUUGCCAGCAUUAAGUUGGGCACUCUGGUGAGACUGCCGGUGACAAACCGGAGGAAGGUGGGGAUGACGUCAAAUCAUCAUGCCCCUUAUGACCUGGGCUACACACGUGCUACAAUGGAUGGUACAACGAGUUGCGAACUCGCGAGAGUAAGCUAAUUUCUUAAAGCCAUUCUCAGUUCGGAUUGUAGGCUGCAACUCGCCUACAUGAAGUCGGAAUCGCUAGUAAUCGCGGAUCAGCAUGCCGCGGUGAAUACGUUCCCGGGCCUUGUACACACCGCCCGUCACACCAUGAGAGUUUGUAACACCCAAAGUCGGUGGGGUAACCUUUAGGAACCAGCCGCCUAAGGUGGGACAGAUGAUUAGGGUGAAGUCGUAACAAGGUAACCA